AUAAUUAGGGUCAGCAGUCCUGAUGUUCCUGUCCAAACCAGGCCUCAGCCAACCAGCUGACUUAAAGUUAAAGACAGACCAAAGUGAAGAGAUUGUAUACAGGUGUGUCCUGAUGUUCCUGUCCUGACGUCCCUGUCCUGAGUAGGAGAAACAUGUGAUGAUGGACAACUUCUGUCCACACCAGACCAAAUGAUGUCUUGGCAAACCUGUUGACCUGAAGACACAGUGAAGAGUUUGUACAGUUAUGCGUUUCUUGACGUUCCUGUCCUGACUGGGAGAAACCUGUGAUGACGGUUGACUUCUGUGUAAACCAGAUCAGAUCAGGUCCUGGAGUUUGUACCUG